GGCUCAGGACGAACGCUGGCGGCGUGCCUAAUACAUGCAAGUCGAGCGGACAGAUAAGGAGCUUGCUCCUUUGACGUUAGCGGCGGACGGGUGAGUAACACGUGGGCAACCUGCCCCUUAGACUGGGAUAACUCCGGGAAACCGGAGCUAAUACCGGAUAAUCCCUUUCUCCACCUGGAGAGAGGGUGAAAGAUGGCUUCGGCUAUCACUAAGGGAUGGGCCCGCGGCGCAUUAGCUAGUUGGUAAGGUAACGGCUUACCAAGGCAACGAUGCGUAGCCGACCUGAGAGGGUGAUCGGCCACACUGGGACUGAGACACGGCCCAGACUCCUACGGGAGGCAGCAGUAGGGAAUCUUCCGCAAUGGACGAAAGUCUGACGGAGCAACGCCGCGUGAGUGAGGAAGGCCUUCGGGUCGUAAAGCUCUGUUGUGAGGGAAGAAGCGGUACCGUUCGAAUAGGGCGGUACCUGA
rnacentral:rRNA from 2 species